AUUGCCCUAGUAACGGCGAGUGAAGCGGCAACAGCUCAAAUUUGAAAUCUGGCUUUCGGGCCCGAGUUGUAAUUUGUAGAGGAUACUUUUGAUGCGGUGCCUUCCGAGUUCCCUGGAACGGGACGCCAUAGAGGGUGAGAGCCCCGUCUGGUUGGAUGCCAAAUCUCUGUAAAGUUCCUUCGACGAGUCGAGUAGUUUGGGAAUGCUGCUCUAAAUGGGAGGUAUAUGUCUUCUAAAGCUAAAUAUUGGCCAGAGACCGAUAGCGCACAAGUAGAGUGAUCGAAAGAUGAAAAGCACUUUGAAAAGAGAGUUAAAAAGUACGUGAAAUUGUUGAAAGGGAAGCGUUUAUGACCAGACUUGGACUUGGUUAAUCAUCUGGGGUUCUCCCCAGUGCACUUUUCCAGUUCAGGCCAGCAUCAGUUUUCGCCGGGGGAUAAAGGCUUCGGGAAUGUAGCUCUCUUCGGGGAGUGUUAUAGCCCGUUGUGUAAUACCCUGGCGGAGACUGAGGUUCGCGCUUCUGCAAGGAUGCUGGCGUAAUGGUCAUCAACGACCCGUCUUGAAACACGGACCAAGGAGUCGUCUUCGUAUGCGAGUGUUCGGGUGUCAAACCCCUACGCGUAAUGAAAGUGAACGCAGGUGAGAGCUUCGGCGCAUCAUCGACCGAUCCUGAUGUUCUCGGAUGGAUUUGAGUAAGAGCAUACGGGGCCGGACCCGAAAGAAGGUGAACUAUGCCUGUAUAGGGUGAAGCCAGAGGAAACUCUGGUGGAGGCUCGCAGCGGUUCUGACGUGCAAAUCGAUCGUCAAAUAUGGGCAUGGGGGCGAAAGACUAAUCGAACCUUCUAGUAGCUGGUUUCCGCCGAU
rnacentral:rRNA from 1 species